rnacentral:rRNA from 1 species
UACAGAGGUGGCAAGCGUUGUUCGGAAUUACUGGGCGUAAAGGGCGCGUAGGCGGCCUUGUCAGUCCCUUGUGAAAUCCCCCGGCUCAACUGGGGAACUGCACGGGAAACAGCAGGGCUUGAGUUCGGGAGAUGGAAGCGGAAUUCCGGGUGUAGCGGUGAAAUGCGUAGAGAUGUGGAGGAACACCGAUGGCGAAGGCAGCCUCCUGGGCCAACACUGACGCUCAUGCACGAAAGCGUGGGGAGCAAACAGG